UGCAGCCAUGCCGCGUGUGUGAAGAAGGCCUUCGGGUUGUAAAGCACUUUCAGCGAGGAGGAAAGGGUGUAAGUUAAUACCUUACAUCUGUGACGUUACUCGCAGAAGAAGCACCGGCUAACUCCGUGCCAGCAGCCGCGGUAAUACGGAGGGUGCGAGCGUUAAUCGGAAUUACUGGGCGUAAAGCGUGCGCAGGCGGUUUGUUAAGCGAGAUGUGAAAGCCCCGGGCUCAACCUGGGAACCGCAUUUCGAACUGGCAAACUAGAGUCUUGUAGAGGGGGGUAGAAUUCCAGGUGUAGCGGUGAAAUGCGUAGAGAUCUGGAGGAAUACCGGUGGCGAAGGCGGCCCCCUGGACAAAGACUGACGCUCAGGCACGAAAGCGUGGGGAGCAAACAGGAUUAGAUACCCUGGUAGUCCACGCCGUAAACGAUGUCUACUCGGAGUUUGGUGUCUUGAACACUGGGCUCUCAAGCUAACGCAUUAAGUAGACCGCCUGGGGAGUACGGCCGCAAGGUUAAAACUCAAAUGAAUUGACGGGGGCCCGCACAAGCGGUGGAGCAUGUGGUUUAAUUCGAUGCAACGCG
rnacentral:rRNA from 1 species